AAUCAACGCUGGCGGCGUGCCUCAGACAUGCAAGUCGAACGCGAAAGGCCCCUUCGGGGGCCCGGUAGAGUGGCGCACGGGUGAGUAACACGUAGGUAAUUUGCCUUCGGGUGGGGAAUAACAGCCGGAAACGGCUGCUAAUACCGCAUAAUGCAGCGGCUCGACAUCGAGACAGUUGUUAAAGCGGGGAUCGCAAGACCUCGCGCCUGAAGAGAAGCCUGCGGCAGAUAGCUUGUUGGUGAGGUAAUGGCUCACCAAGGCGACGAUCUGUAACCGGCCUGAGAGGGCGGUCGGUCACACUGACACUGACAUACGGGUCAGACUCCUACGGAGGCAGCAGUCGGGAAUUUUGGGCAAUGGGCGAAAGCCUGACCCAGCAACG
rnacentral:rRNA from 1 species